AUUGAACGCUGGCGGCAGGCUUAACACAUGCAAGUCGAGCGGAGUUGUGGUGCUUGCACCAUAACUUAGCGGCGGACGGGUGAGCAAUGCUUAGGAAUCUGCCAUUUAGUGGGGGACAACAUUCCGAAAGGAAUGCUAAUACCGCAUACGUCCUACGGGAGAAAGCAGGGGAUCUUCGGACCUUGCGCUAAAUGAUGAGCCUAAGUCGGAUUAGCUAGUUGGUGGGGUAAAGGCCUACCAAGGCGACGAUCUGUAGCGGGUCUGAGAGGAUGAUCCGCCACACUGGGACUGAGACACGGCCCAGACUCCUACGGGAGGCAGCAGUGGGGAAUAUUGGACAAUGGGCGGAAGCCUGAUCCAGCCAUGCCGCGUGUGUGAAGAAGGCCUUUUGGUUGUAAAGCACUUUAAGCGAGGAGGAGGCUCUUCUAGUUAAUACCUAGGAUGAGUGGACGUUACUCGCAGAAUAAGCACCGGCUAACUCUGUGCCAGCCGCCGCUGUAAUAC
rnacentral:rRNA from 1 species